UACGUAGGGUGCAAGCGCUGUCCGGAAUUAUUGGGCGUAAAGAGCUCGUAGGCGGUUUGUCGCGUCUGCCGUGAAAGUCCGGGGCUCAACUCCGGAUCUGCGGUGGGUACGGGCAGACUAGAGUGAUGUAGGGGAGACUGGAAUUCCUGGUGUAGCGGUGAAAUGCGCAGAUAUCAGGAGGAACACCGAUGGCGAAGGCAGGUCUCUGGGCCGAUACUGACACUGAGGAGCGAAAGCGUGGGGAGCAAACAGG
rnacentral:rRNA from 1 species